rnacentral:rRNA from 2 species
AUAUCAAUAAGCGGAGGAAAAGAAACCAACAGGGAUUGCCCUAGUAACGGCGAGUGAAGCGGCAACAGCUCAAAUUUGAAAUCUGGCGCAAGCCCGAGUUGUAAUUUGUAGAGGAUGCUUCUGGCCAGCGGCCGUUCUAAGUUCCUUGGAACAGGACGUCAUAGAGGGUGAGAAUCCCGUAUGUGACCGGCGCGCAGCCUUUACGUAGCUCCUUCGACGAGUCGAGUUGUUUGGGAAUGCAGCUCUAAAUGGGAGGUAAAUUUCUUCUAAAGCUAAAUACCGGCCAGAGACCGAUAGCGCACAAGUAGAGUGAUCGAAAGAUGAAAAGCACUUUGGAAAGAGAGUUAAAAAGCACGUGAAAUUGUUGAAAGGGAAGCGCUUGCAACCAGACUUCGUAGCGAUGUUCCGCCGGUCUUCUGACCGGUCUACUCAUCGUCGCGAGGCCAACAUCGUCUGGGGCCGCCGGAUAAGACCUAAGGAAUGUAGCUUCCCUCGGGAAGUGUUAUAGCCUUUGGUGAUGCGGCGCGUCUCGGGCGAGGUCCGCGCUUCGGCAAGGAAKUUGGGC